rnacentral:rRNA from 1 species
UACGAGGGGGGCGAGCGUUGUUCGGAAUUAUUGGGCGUAAAGGGCGCGUAGGCGGCAAGGCAAGUCGGGGGUGAAAGCUUGGGGCUUAACCCCGAAAGGGCACUCGAAACUGCCCUGCUAGAGGGCCGGAGAGGAGAUCGGAAUUCACGGUGUAGCAGUGAAAUGCGUAGAGCUCGUGAGGAAGACCGGUGGCGAAGGCGGAUCUCUGGACGGCCCCUGACGCUGAGGCGCGAAGGCUAGGGGAGCAAACGGG